UGAGCAACCUGCCCUUGACUCCGGAAUAACAGCUGGAAACAGCUGCUAAUACCGGAUAUGACCUCCGAUGGCAUCAUCUGGAGGUGGAAAGCUCCGACGGUCAAGGAUGGGCUCGCGGCCUAUCAGCUUGUUGGUGAGGUAACGGCUCACCAAGGCUUCGACGGGUAGCCGGCUGAGAGGGCGACCGGCCACACUGGGACUGAGAUACGGCCCAGACCUCUACGGGAG
rnacentral:rRNA from 1 species